rnacentral:other from 1 species
GGUCACCUGCCGUGUGCGUGAGCGGACAUUGUUUUGAACCUUACGUGUUGAUAGGGAGACAUAUCCCGCUUCGUGCUGGCACGCCCUCUCGCAGGGACGUCAAAUACCGAAGCGGCCGUCGCCCACCUGCUGAGGCGGGUUCUAAAACACGGGUCCCUCACGGCACAGCGGGGCCAC